GUCGAAGCAAAGCUCCCUGGCUGUUAGCCGUUUGGGCCUUUUUAGAUCCAGACGUGUUCAUCCGGCCCCGUGCCUCGUCCACACCCACUUUCCCGCCGCCUGGCUGCCUGAGCACCUGAGACUGCGCACUUUGAAACUACCUCACGACCUCUCUGAUUUUUCAGCACGGGUCUUUUGUGCUUCCUCUUCGCUCUGGCCAGUGCCCAGGAACAGACCCCAUGCCAGGGCCACACAGGCAGGGAGGAAUAAGGCCUGGGCCUAUUCUCAAAGAGCUUGCCUUCCAUUGGAGAGGAACUGACCAGAACGCAGCAACGUCAAAGCAACACGGAUCCCCCGGCCUGAGGCCAGACUUGACGCAGACUCUCAGGGACAACAAGACAAAACCUGUUCUGAACUCGAGACGCUUGUAGCUCCCGGUGGAGCUGGGCAAGCACAUGGUGUGGCAAGUGGCACUGUCCAGGACGGCUCCAGAAGACCUUAAGGCGAUGGUCCUUGAUCCGAGUUACAAUCCAGCAGGAGUGACUCAGAAGAAAGAGGGAGAGGGGCCCCCUGGAGAAAUGAGACAGCGCCAGGUGCAAAGGCAAGGUGACAAAGUGCUCGUGAAUGCGGGAAGAGGAAUGGACUGCUGGUUACCUAUCUUUAGAAGAGAACAGAUUUAGGAGGAGGAGCGGGAGCUCGCCCUACAGGUAGCAAGACAUUCAAAGUUAGGAAACUGGAUGUGAUGCCGAGAGGACAUUACCGAUUGGUGGGAAAGGUGGAACGUUCACUAAGUGGGGCUGCAGGGGUUGCUCUCACUUUGGAAAAAAAAUACAUUUAGACCUCUACCUCAAAUCCUACACAAAAAUCAAUUCUAAGCAAAUUAAAGAUUUAAAUUUGAGAAGCAAAACUUGAAAACUUCUAUAAGACAUUAUGGAAGACUAUCAUUAUGACCCCAGGUAGGAUAGGAUUUCUUAAACUCGUCAAAAAGAGGAAGACAUUCUACUAUGUUAAAUGGAGAGCUUAAGACAUCACAGACUGAAGACAAGCCGCACGCAAGAAGAAUGCGUUCACCACGUAGCAAAUGAAUGAUUGAUUAACAGAGAAGGAGAAUGUUGACAACUAGAUGUCAACAAGAAGUCAAAGAACCCAAUGAAAUGUUAGCACAAAGCAGAGCAAGCAUUUGCUAGAGGAGGCAGCUGGAAACAUAUGAAAAGGUCACCAGGGAAAUAGAAAUUAAAAUCACAUGACCGUUAACACCACCAGGUUGGCAAAACCUCGAACGUCUGUAAAUAUGGAGGGUCGGCGAGGUCUUACGCUGCUGGGGGCGGUCAACUGGUACAGUGGGUUCAGAACACUGUUUGUCGAUACACAGUCAAGCUGGGGACAAGCACACGCGAACCACAGCGGCUUCUCUCUAGUAAACACCCUCACAGCCCAGAUCGAGGGACGGAUGGACAGUAAACGUCACAGCACGUCGUCACAAGAACCAACAAGGGCAACAACCCAAAUGUCCAGUCACAAGAGGAUGGAUAAGUUCUGGCACAUUCUUACAAGGGGAGAGUGCACAGCAUCAAAAGUGAAUGCGGGAACGCCUAACACAUCCACACAGACGCUGAGUGAAACAAGCUGAGCCCUUGGAGAACAGAACGGAAUGUUCUCUUUAUACCACGUUCACAAGCCGUGCUCAGCUGAGCACUAGCCGGUUUAGGGCUACAGCUCUGUGACGAAACUGCAGACACAAGACAGAACACUCAGGACCUCGGUGAGAAGAAGUUGGCAGUGGCCAUCCUGGAGACCCUCUGCCACAGGCAGGAAAGGGCUGGGAGGCUCGAGGAAGAGGGGGGAGGCCAGGCUUCCUGGGACACAGUGAGGGAGGGGGAGCGUGACCAGAUACGAGGCUGGAGGAACGGAUGGAGAGGGCAGGUCAGGCAGGGCCUGGGAGGCCACGGGAAGGCGUCGACUUUCCUUCUAAACUUGACGCGUGAUCGGAGUCUCGUUCUAACAGAUCUUUCUGGCUGUUGUGCAGACAAUGGGUUGCAGAGGGCAAGGGUGGAAGCGGGGAGCCUGACUAGGAGGCUGGUGAGUUUGUCCAGACAAGAGAUGCCGAUGAGAAUGAAGAUGGAAGAAAUGGGAGGAUUCAGAAUAUACGUGGCAGUGGAACUGAUGAACUUGACGAUGAAUUGGAUGUGGGGGCAAAGAAAGAAGGGGAUCAAGGCAGAGUCCCAGGUCUGGGGCCUGAGGCAUCAGAUGGAGAAGAGAGUGAGGAUGCUGGUGAGGGCGAUGACGGGGGAGGAAAGUCAAGAGUUCCAUUCUGGUCGUGUCAAGUUUGAGACGCCUGGUGUAGACAUUUAAGACAAUAUCGACUGCAGAUGGGGAUGGAAACAGAGGAGCUCAGGGACAGGGCCCGGGCCUCAGUUUCCUCAGCUGUAACAAAGGUUGGCCUGGGUACAUGAAUCAGUAAUUCACUCAUUGUCAUGGCCAGUUAGUAUUGCACCGUCCAGGCAUACCGCUUGUUGCUCGUCUAUUCAUCAGUUCCUGAGCAUUUGGGUUGCCUCCACCUUUUGACUGUUAUGCAUAAUACUGCGUGGCCCUUCGCGCACAAGCUCUUGUCUGAACACAUGUUUUCAGGUCUCUUGGGGAUACACCUAGGAGUGGAAUUGCUGGCUUAUAUGAUAAUAUUAUGUUUAACUUUUGAAAAACCACCAGACUGUUUCCUGUAAUGGCUGUGCCAUUUUAACUUCCCACCAGCAGUGAGGAAGCUCCCGAAAGCAAGGACUUUCCCUCCUGCCCACCCGGCUCCGAGCCAGCCCGGGCUCCUUGCAGUGGGCGCUCGUGGGGCAGUCUGCUGAAAUGACAACCAGGAGCCGAGGAGCUCGGGGAGGGGGCAGGGGUGCAUUUCUGUGGGAGGGCUUCCCAGACAGCCUGCCGGGCAGUUUCUUCUCUCUCCUGCUUCCUCGUGAUGCAGACCCUCGGAACCUCAGUUUCCUCGUGUGCAAGAUGAGAUGAUGUGUACUCAGAGACUGAUCACAGAUGCAGCAUCCAACACGUAGGGAGUGCUUCCCUCACGCGGACUCCUCACAUGACCCCUGGGAAGGUGUCACUUCUUAUUGCCAUUCCACAGAGGGGACAGGAAGUUGCCUGGGCCCACCCGGCCUGGCCUUGGACCCACAGGGGCUGCCUCACGGGCUUCCUGCUGGGCUGUGUGCCCAAUAUGGUGCUUCUCACCCAGGGCAGGUGCCCGGCAGGGGUCCCUGGGGGUAAGAAUCACCAUCGAGAGAAGGUCAGUCCUGCCCCUGACCCAGAGGCCCCGCUCACCUUCUCCCAGGUGAGCCACCAGGUGGCCUUGCUGGGAAGGAGGGAGAGCAUCCUCAUCAGGUCUCUCUCUGGCCACCAGGGGCUGGUGACGGGGAAGCUGCAUGAGGUUAUUUCUGGGAGUGCGGGGAGCUGGGAGCCGACUGCACAGGCUUUCUAAAGAAAACUCUGCCUCCUCUAUAAAUAGCUCCUCUGACGCCUUCUGAGCUCCUGACGCCUCUGGGGUGGCGGGGCGGGUAGCACCCUGCCCACGCGCCCUCGCCACGACGGUGGUGUGAUUGCGCAGUGGAAGGGCGUGUGCGGCGGCCAGGGCAGGAUUUCAGGAACCAGUGGCACCUCCCACGGAAGCCCAAGGGGCCAGCGUUGUUGCCAGCUGUUCAUUUUGCCUAGGAAGGACUUCUAAAAACAGGACCACUUAUUAUCACCAUCAUGUCAUAAAAUAAAUCCUAUGCUAAUGCCAAAAAGAAAGUAGAAAGGGCAUAAUCUCGGAAAGAAGGACAGGCCAGUAAAUUGAAUUUUUUUUUUUUUUUUGAGGAAGAUUAGCCCUGAGCUAACAUGUGCCACCAAUCCUCCUCUUUUUUUCCUGAGGAAGACUGGCCCUGAGCUAACAUCCAUGCCCAUCUUCCUCUACUUUACAUGCGGGAUGCCCACCACAGCAUGGCUUGACAAUUGGUGCGUAGGUCCGGGCCCAAGAUCCCAAUCAGUGAACCCCGUGCUGCCAAAGUGGAGCAUGCAAACUUAAGUCCUGCGCCACUGGGCCAGCCUCAAUUUUUUUUUUCUUAAUGAAAAACUCACUGCAGAGCCCUUGCUGUUCUAAUUCUUCCAGAAUCUUGUGGAAACAGUGUUGGAGAGCACAUACCCGCAGACCUGAUGAUGGGAGUCCCUGGCAAUGAGAGUCCCAGUGGCUAACGCUCUGAGGUGCUGCCUCCACCUGGGGGAAGGGUGGGCAGACGGAUGAUGGCCCGGGAUCAGGCGGCUGGGCAUUGUGCUGGUGUAACCGAGCUCAGUGAGUUUGUCUCUUGGUGAGUGCAGUGCCGAAAAGCACAACCAGGGCUGAAGCGGGUGAAGAAAAGGUUUAUAGCUUGCACAAGCAACGGAGAACACCGAGGAUAGCCCCCAAAGCAGUGUCCCCCAGAGCCUAGUGCAUGAGGAGACUUUACACACCAGAGUGCAGAGGCUGUGUUACCACUGUGUAACAACUGGGCCUGGUCGAGGUGCACGUGCAGGCCGUUACACAACGUAACGAGCUCAGUGCAACAGCCAGUACAUCACAGGUCCGCGGUGGCUUUUGGACGCUUGGUGCCGGAGCAGUUUGCCCGGGGUCCUGCUGCAACCGUGUCACUUUCACUGUGGGAUGGCAACAUCCGCAAAGAUGAGGACAUCACCUUCUGAAAAACAGCCCGUUUAGUUUUCUCCUUAUCUGGAAGACAUUUGACAGCCCAUGUUUAGUUACGGGUCAGAUUCUCAGUAACCCCUUCCUUGCCUGGUUUCUGGUCACACCGGGUCCUGCAGAUAUGGGUUAAAAGGAUAGCCAGCCCCUCUCUGAGAUGUGGUUCACUCAUCUACAAAGAGAACUGGCGAUCCCACAUCUCAGCGGGGCGCAGAAGAUAAGGUGAGGCAACGGAUAUGAAUUUGCUGUCGCUCUGCUGCCCACACAAGACGUCCCUGUCAUUGUCCUCUUUGCAGACUGCACAGCCUGGAUGGUCCUGGAGCCCCAGAAGCUGCCUCUAGGGUGCCCUGCUGGGUUGAGAUCCCUGCCGCAGGGUCUAGGGAUGCUUUGGGGAUGGUGGGCAGUCAGGAGGACACUGAGGGGGGGUCCUGAGGACACCUGCCAGGAAAAAAGUCACCGAUGCAGAUAUGAGUUGAAUUCUGUCCCCCUAAAAUAUAUGCUGAAGUCCUGACCCCCAGUACCUCAGAUCGUGAGCUCGUUUUGAAACCGAGUCGUUGCAGAUGUAAUUAGUUUUGAUGACGUCACCUUGGAUUAGCGUGGGCCCUAGCCUAUAUGUCUGGUGUCCUGAUAAGGAGGGACACAGACACACGAUGACAGAGACGAUGACGGAGAAGGAGACUGGAGUGCUGCUGCCACAAGCCGAGGAAGCCGAGGGCGGAGGACAAACACCAGAAGCUGGGGAGGCAGGCAGAAGCCUCCCCUGGAGCCUGCAGCGGGAGCGUGGCCCUGCGACACCUGCACUUCGACUCCUAGCCUCCAGGCUGUGUUCCAGCACCUGGUUAGGAUGGCCCUGGGAGACUGGCACCGACGCCUGGCACAGCGCUGGCCCAGCAGGGGCCAGAUACAGGUGCUGAAUGAGUGGUGUUCAUUGAGUGCUUACUGCGUAGUACGCACUGGGCUAAAGGAUGGGAUGAGUCUGAGUGUAUGGUGUGGCUGCUGUUUGUGUCAACUCUUAUAAGCACUCGAGGGCAGUCCCUUAAUCCACAGGACCACCCUUGGAGGUGGGUACUACUUUAGGUCUCACCUGGUGCAGGAGAAAACCGAGACACAGAGCCAUGAGCCACUUGCCCAGGGAUGCGUAAGUCACUGAGCCAUGAUGCAAAUGUCCAGAGCCCUUGCUGGUCAGCAUUGCAAUGCUCCCUCCCAGCCUGUUGCCCAGCACACAGUAGGUGCUCAAUAAAUGCUCACUGCCCCAUACUUGUUCACUGCUUUCCCCCAGCUGUGCCGAGAAAGUUCUGGGAAUCUGUGAGUGUCCUCGGUUUACAGACAAGAGAAGUGUUUGCUCCCCUCCCCAGCCUGCCAGGGCCUCCGGGUUACUGGAUGAGACGUACUGAAUGAGGCCUGAUUUGAUUCUACCUUUAACACUGCCACUUCCUCCAGGAGGCCCUCCCUGACCAGCCCCCGUCUAUAUUAGCGUCCUGUUGUGGAUUAAACUGUGUCCCCCCAAAAAGAUAUGUUGAGGCCCUAACCCCCGGUGUCUGUGAAUAUGACCUAAUUUGGAAAUAGGGUCUUCGCAGACGGAAUCAGAUUAAGACGCAGUGACAGCAGAUUAGGGUGGCCCCAAUUCAACACGACUGGCGUCCUUGUAAGAAGUGGCCAGAGACAACAGGAAAAUGCCGUGUGAUGACAGAGACAGAGAUGAUAGUGAUGCAUUUACCAGCCAAGGAGCACCAAGGAUUGCCAGCCACCGCCAGAAGCUACGAGAGAGGCAGUGACGGACUCUCCUCCAAGACCCCCGAGCGAGCCGAACCUGCAGCACCUCGAUCUCAGCCUCUGGCCCCCAGAACUGAGAGGCUCUGUUAACGGAGUUCUGAGCCCCCCAGCUUGUGGUACCUUGUUACGGCAACCACAGGAAACGAAUAUACACCCCACGCUUUGCCACAAGCUGACUGUGCUCAUCCUGGUCUAACUUCCACCCCGUGUUCUUCUGGCACAUUCUAGAACCCAGGUAUCCGAACUUCACCAAUGUAACGGUUCAGACGAUAUGGACCUUCUCCCCUCAGGGCAGGGUCUGUGCAUUAUAUUCUGCGUAUGCAGGGCAGGGAGGUGCCCUUCUAGGAAAAUGAAGGGCUCUAGAGUCAGCCAGAGUGUGCUGACUGCUCAGCUCUGUCACUCCCCAGCGCUGAGACCUUGGGCCAACCAGGUGACAUCUCUGGUCUCCAGUCACCUCUUCCACAAAAGUGGCCAUAGCCGUACCACCUUGGGAGACGUAAGGAUUAAGCAGGAACAGGUGUGCAAACACCUGGGCAGCUCCUGAUCCACUGGUCUUCAACGAGCGCUUCCUGACUUGGACCGACUAGCAGGACGGAUCCCGCAGCGGGGCAGUUCAUUCAACAAAUGCUUAAACUUCUGUUAAUGUCGUAGGUUCACAGAAUGGAAAAGGUUAAUUGCAUGAUAUUUUCAUCUGCUAUUUAGAUACAUAGGAAAAGAAUAACUCAAUUAUACCAGGUUUUGUACUUUAUGAAAAGGAAAAAAAGUCAAAGGGAGGUCGGUAGCUUUCCCUUACACAAAAUUAAUUCGCUGCUCAUUAUCAUGGUUCUGCUUUUGUAUUCUUCAGCUUCCUAAAUAGAAGAGGCCCGAUUUAUACACCCCAUCUGUAUUUGAACAUUUUUAGAAUGCCUCAAAAUUAGUGUUGAUUUCAUUAAUUUUCAUCAGAGAUUGGCAAAAUAUUUUCCUACGUGAUCUGGGUGAGUCAUUCAGGGGGAGGAUGGGGGGGUGUCUGCAGAGUGGGUGCUCCCCAGUGUAGAGAACUGAGCAAGGAGCAGAGGAGAUGGGGCGUGCAGGGGCCCCUCCCCGGCCUCCCCUCCGGGUACUCCUUCCCACCCUUCCAGGGUGUUCUCCUUGUGCAACCUUUCCCUGAGUCUGCGUCGCCGAGAGAAGAAAGCCGAACCUCCUUGGCUUGGGCGGCCGGCCCUCUGUGAACCGGGCCAGCCUUGUCCACCCUCACACCUGCACCUGUCCCUUCACCUCCCCUCACUCAGAAUUCCUCCAGCCCGGCCGGAGCGGCAUGGAGCAGCACACAUAGGCGUCCACCUGCACAGCCCGGCUGGUUCCCAUUGCCCCUGCCUCCAAGUUCCCGUCAGGCCUCUCAUUUCCCAGGAGGCCUUUCUUUGGCUCACUCCUCACACCUUCCCACCCAGUGAGGACUCUCCUCUGGGCAGCCCAGCCUCCUCUCUUCCUGCCUGCCUCACAGCUCCGUAAAGGCAAAACUCAUCUCCGUCCCCACUCUCUGGACAGACCCCAUCACAUCCGGCCUGAUCGUCAUACUGAAUUGAAAAACAGAGCCUCCAGCAACGUGAUUUAUUCACUAAUAUCUGAGGUUCUCAAAACUGAACGUGUCCAUUGAGAAUAUGCUUAUCAAACGUUUGCGAACACAUGGGUGAGUGAGUGAGUGAGUGAGUGACCCAGGUGUUCCCCUUUGGGAAAUUUCCUAGCUCUCACAUGUGAUCACAUUAUACCAACUGCAACAAGCCUUUUGAAAACCCUCACAUUUAGAGCAAAAUUAAUAAUACUGUUUUUUAAAUUCCCCAAGAUGCAAGAAAGUGCAGUGGAGUCCUUUCUAUAAUCCUGAUUGACCAGCUAAUGCUGUUAAGUCAGAAUGUUAUGAAGUAUGGUUCUAUCGGCUCUGACUUCACUGGGUUUUAUCAUGAGAUGACACGUCUGCUUUCGAACUCAACUGAAGCCUACAGUUAUUAGGCACUCAGCGCUUGUCAAGCACCACCCGAGGCACUUUUGUGUGCAUUGGAUCGUUGUCCAGAACCCUGGACCCAGGUGGUGCCUCAUCCUCAACCUUUUCCUCGUCACCAGCAGCAGCAGCACCACCACCAUCACCACCACUGCUAUCCUCACCUCCACCACCAUCACCGCCAUAAUCACCACCACCACUAUCAUCAUGAUCACAACCGCCAUCAUCACCGCCACUGCUAUUCUCACCUCCACCACCAUCACCACCAUAAUCACCACCACCACUAUCAUCAUCAUCGCAACCGCCAUCACCAUCACCACCAUCACCAUCCUCACCGGAACAGCUAACAUUUAUUAAGCACUUGCUCCAUGCCGGGCCCCAGUCUAAGCAUCUGACAUGUUUUUCUCUGGUAACCCUCACACCUGCUCCAUGAAACAGGCAUGAUGUUUAUUAUCUCCAUUCUCAUAGAUGAGGAAAGAUUAGGAUAAACUCAGGGACUUUCUCAAAUACACAGCUAGCGAGUGUCAAAUCAGAUGCUUGGUCUCAUUCACUCAGCCAACAAGCGUUUUCUGAGAGGGUCUCUUGUGUAUUAGGCAUCAUUCUAGGGUUGGGAGGCACAGAACUUACAAGCCACAGGCAGGAGGUCUACACUCCAGGGUGCAUGUGUGUGCGUGUGCGUGUGUGUGCAUGCCUGCCGACAAGUGUGUGUCUGUGUACAUGUGGGUGGAGCAGGGACACAGACAAUGGAAAGAUAAACAGGAAGUGAACGAGGACAAUUUCCAAGAGGUUCGAGUGCACUGAUGAGGUUAAAGUACCUGGGACAGAAGGUGAUGGGGCAGGUGGACAGGGGAUAUCUGAGUAGGCGGCAUCUGAGUCACUGGAAGGACAAGAGGGUACCUCUGAGGGUGGAGCUCCAGGGAGAGGGGACAGCAAGUGCUAAAGUCCCAUGGUGGCCGCCAUCCAGCCGUGUUAGGAGCAGAAAGAGCCGCUGAGUCUCCGGGUCCCGCGCAGGGGAGAGGGUGGCAGGGUGAGGGCAGGACAAGGGGCAGGGCCAGGCCAUGUGGGCGUGGGUUGGAGUUUGGGUUUAUUCUACGUGCAAUGGGAAGGGUUUUCAGCAGGUGGGUAACGUGAUCUUUCUUACGUGUUAAAAGGCCAUAUGUGCCGCUGAGUAGGGAAUGGGCUGAAGGAAAGCAGGAAUGGAGACGGGGAGAGCAGUUCGAAGCCUCCUGUAGUGAUCCAGGUGAGAGAUGGCAACUGUCCGGAGCUCAGCGGUGGCCGUGCGACUGCAGGAAGUGAGGAGUGUUUGCAAUCCACUGCGGAAAUGGAGUCAACGAGAAUAACUACCAGUUAGACAUGGGGGUGCUGGGAAGAGAGGCUAAGGACCCUGAGGACAGCGAACACUUACCUGCCAGGGACGGCUCCAGGGCAUCGUUGGAACAGAGCAGGAGAGCAGGUGAGUGAACUGGCUUCUAAGCGAGGCAGGUGAUGUGCCCCAAGGACGAAGGCUGAUCUGAAGGGGACCAGUUCAGUGUAAGACAUGGGGAGUGGGUGGAUGGACUUUACCUAGUGUACCAGUUAGCUAUCGCUGUAUGACAAAUAACCCCAGAAUUUAGGGGUUUAAAACAACCACCAUUCCCUUGCUCAUCACUCUGCAAUCUGGGCCAGGCUCAGCUGCUGGUCCUUCUGCUGGCUGACCUGGGGUUACUCAGCGACCUCCAGCAGUCGUCUGGAUGCUGGCUGGGCCUGGGUGAUCCGAGAUGCCUCAGCGGAAUGGUUAGAACAGCUGGAGGCUGGCUGGGCUGCUCUUCAGAUGCAGAGCCCAGCAGGGUAGCCAGCCUUCCCUGUGUGGUGGCUUAGAGCUGAAAUGGGGCCACGGUGGAAGGUGCAAGGCCUCUUAAGUCACCCAGUGUCACUUCUGCCUCUUUCUAUUGGUCAAGGCAAGUCACAGCCAGACCAGAUUCCAGCCCAGGGGACACGGACUUCGCCUCUUGUUGGAAGGAGUAGCAAAGCCACGGUACACACAGGCAGGCAGGAGAGGUGUGAUUGCUUUGAGGUCAUUCAAUUAAAAUCUCCAGGGUCAGACACCUCCCCUGGGCCAGGGUUCGGGGACCGUCUGCUGAGCGGUAUUGAAUUCCUCAUCUGUGAGCAGCAGCUUGAACCCAAGACAGCCUGACCCCUGGGACAGUGCUGGCCUUGCCCCUGGAUCAAGGCUCUGAAAAGACCUAAUGGGCAUUAGGUGAGACUGACUAUCCAUGACAGGCAGUGUCAUGUCAUCAUGUGAGUGGAAGUUCCAGCUCCCCUCUUACCAGCUGUGAGACCUUGGGCAGGUUGAUCCACCUCUCUGAGCCUCAGUGUUCUCACUUAUAUCCUAAGGAUAUUGCAUCUACUUCAAGGUUUGCUCUGAAGGUAAAAUGGUAUAAAAAUGUACAGUGUCAGCCCAUGACAAUCCAACAAAUGACAGCAAUGAUUAUCAAUGUCAUUGGUUAACUUGUUAGAGCUUGGGGAUCAGAAAGACAUAACAAUAGCAGCCAAAAGUUGUGGCGUGCUUACAAUGUCCCGGCCCCACGGCAAGCACCUCACAUGGGUAUCUCAUUGGAUCCUUGGUAAUCUAAUGAGCUAGGUCCUUCUAUUGACUCGUAGGUCAAUAGGAAGAAGCUGAGGGUCAGAGAAGGAGAAAUCAGGGCAGAUCAUAAGCGAUGGAGCGGUUUUGAGCCCAGCUACUCUCACAUCCAAGGCUGAGCUCUUAACAACCACAUUCGCAUAUUUGGGCAAAUUGUUUAAACUCUCUGGGCUUCUGUUCCCUCAAGUGGAUGGGUAACCUAGGGUUGGUAAGUUUCCUAGCACAGUGCCAGGCCCAGAUCUUGUGGACACUGGAUAAAUGGCCCUGGGUGAUCCCUGCCUCUGUGACCAACCAGUGCUGGGGGGCCAGCUGGAUGAGUUGGGAGGGAAAGGCCGGCUGUCUCUCCAUUUUCGCCUUGCCUCUUCCAGCAGGGGUGGCUGUUUGAGGUUUUAAAUCAAGGGCAGCAGCUGGACUAAUGGUUUAUCGUGGUUCACAACUCGUGGGAAUUCUAGUCUGGGAGUAUAUUCUGAGUCCACCCAAUUCUUUCACCUUGACAUCGGCAUCUCUCAUCUGGACAAACUCACCAGCCUCCUAGUCAGGCUCCCCACUUCCACCCUUGCCCUCUACAACCCAUGGUCCAUAAGAGUGGCAGCAAGAUCUGUUAGAAUGAGACUCCGAUCACGUGUCAAUUGUAGAAAGAAAGUCGAUGCCUUCCCGUGCUCUCCCAGGCCCUGCCUGACCUGCCCUCUCCAUCCGUUCCUCCAGCCUCAUGUCUGGUCACGCUCCCCCUCCCUCACUAUGUCCCAGGAAGCCUGGCCUCCCCCCUCUUCCUCGAGCCUCCCAGCCCUUUCCUGCCUGUGGCAGAGGGUCUCCAGGAUGGCCACUGCCAACUUCUUCUCUCCCGAAUCCUGAAUCACGUCCAGAGGAGGAGCCUGGCUCCCUCUCCUGGCUGCUGGGCUAGGUGGAGUCUCACUUAAGCAGCAGGAUGCAGUGGAAGCGACGUUCAAGGACCGGGAGGCUGCAUCAGCAGAAGCCACGUCGCUUCCGUCUGGGUCUCUAGAGUUCACUCUUGAGAUGAUCAGCCCGCGGGAAGCCGGCUGCUGUGAUGUGAGAAUCCCGAGCCACAUGGAGAGGCCACCUGUGGGUGCUCUUGUCAACUGCCCCAGCAGAACUCCGGCUGACAGCCAGCAUCAACUACCAGCCACGUGAAGAGCCAUCCUGGAUGACCAGCCCAGGCGAGCCUCAGAUGAUGCAGCCCCAGCCAUGUGCAGAUGUAGAGGAAGGGCCUUCUAGGGGAGGGAACAGCAGCUGCGAAGGCCCUGAGGUGCUGGCUGGGGUGGAGUGAGCCAAGGGAGGUAGGAAGCCACAAGGUCUGAGAAGCACUGGGGCAGACACAGUAGGUGACAUAGGGCUCUCGGGCCCUGGUUAGGAUCCUGGGAUCACUCCAGGCAGGACAGGAGGCCGUGAAGAUCAGAGGAGAAUCACUCCGGCCACGUGUGGAGAAGAGACAGUGGAGGGAAGGACAGAGGGGAGGGAGCCAGAGUGGCUGACCUGGGACACACAGGCAGGGGCAAUGAGGCUCAGUGGCAGCCGCGAAGGUGGCCCAUAUGGCCAGACCUGGGAUCAUCUCAAAGGCAGAGCCAGCAGCAUUUGCCAACAGAUUAGCUGUGGGUGAGAGAAAGAGAGAGGCGUUGAGGACAACACCAAAGGGUUCAGGAGCAAGUGAUGAAGCACUGAGUAACGUGGAGAAAUGUGAAUGCUGAUAUUGACCCAGCAAAGUGGCCACAGAGCCUUGUCAGAGCGAGAGGGCGGGAAGUGGGUUAAGUCUCUAUCAAUUACCAGCCUGGAUUCUCCAGAGCAUCCUGAAAUUACUUCUUAUUUGCUUACUUACUGUCUUUGUGGCCUUCUGGAAGAAUCUCCAGGGCCCAGCACAGGUUCUGGCAGGUGUGCAGACACGAUAAAUAUUGUGGAAUGGAAGGAAGGGAGGACAGAAAAUGGAAGGAAGCAGGCAGAGAACAGGGAAAGAAGAGGAGAGAGUGAGAGGGCG
ensembl:lncRNA